rnacentral:rRNA from 1 species
ACGAACGCUGGCGGCGCGCCUAACACAUGCAAGUCGAACGGAGCUUAGAGAGCUUGCUUUUUAAGCUUAGUGGCGAACGGGUGAGUAACGCGUGAGUAACCUGCCCUAGAGUGGGGGACAACAGUUGGAAACGACUGCUAAUACCGCAUAAGCCCACGGUACCGCAUGGUACUGAGGGAAAAGGAUUUAUUCGCUUUAGGAUGGACUCGCGUCCAAUUAGCUAGUUGGUGAGGUAACGGCCCACCAAGGCGACGAUUGGUAGCCGGACUGAGAGGUUGAACGGCCACAUUGGGACUGAGACACGGCCCAGACUCCUACGGGAGGCAGCAGUGGGGGAUAUUGCACAAUGGGGGAAACCCUGAUGCAGCGACGCCGCGUGGAGGAAGAAGGUUUUCGGAUUGUAAACUCCUGUCGUUAGGGACGAUAAUGACGGUACCUAACAAGAAAGCACCGGCUAACUACGUGCCAGCAGCCGCGGUAAAACGUAGGGUGCAAGCGUUGUCCGGAAUUACUGGGUGUAAAGGGAGCGCAGGCGGGAAGACAAGUUGGAAGUGAAAACCAUGGGCUCAACCCAUGAAUUGCUUUCAAAACUGUUUUUCUUGAGUAGUGCAGAGGUAGAUGGAAUUCCCGGUGUAGCGGUGGAAUGCGUAGAUAUCGGGAGGAACACCAGUGGCGAAGGCGGUCUACUGGGCACCAACUGACGCUGAGGCUCGAAAGCAUGGGUAGCAAACAGGAUUAGAUACCCUGGUAGUCCAUGCCGUAAACGAUGAUUACUAGGUGUUGGGGGAUUGACCCCCUCAGUGCCGCAGUUAACACAAUAAGUAAUCCACCUGGGGAGUACGACCGCAAGGUUGAAACUCAAAGGAAUUGACGGGGGCCCGCACAAGCGGAGGAACAUGUGGUUUAAUUCGAUGAUACGCGAGGAACCUUACCCGGGCUUGAAAGUUAGCGACGAUUCUUGAAAGAGGAUUUCCCUUCGGGGCGCGAAACUAGGUGCUGCAUGGUUGUCGUCAGCUCGUGUCGUGAGAUGUUGGGUUAAGUCCCGCAACGAGCGCAACCCUUAUUGCCAGUUACUACGUUAAGAGGACUCUGGCGAGACUGCCGUUGACAAAACGGAGGAAGGUGGGGAUGACGUCAAAUCAUCAUGCCCUUUAUGACCUGGGCUACACACGUACUACAAUGGCGUUAAACAAAGAGAAGCAAGACCGCGAGGUGGAGCAAAACUCAAAAACAACGUCUCAGUUCAGAUUGCAGGCUGCAACUCGCCUGCAUGAAGUCGGAAUUGCUAGUAAUCGCGGAUCAGCAUGCCGCGGUGAAUACGUUCCCGGGCCUUGUACACACCGCCCGUCACACCAUGAGAGCCGGGGGGACCCGAAGUCGAUAGUCUAACCGCAAGGAGGACGUCGCCGAAGGUAAAACUGGUGAUUGGGGUG